rnacentral:misc_RNA from 1 species
AUGCGAUAAGUAAUGUGAAUUGCAGAAUUCAGUGAAUCAUCGAAUCUUUGAACGCACAUUGCGCCCGCCAGUAUUCUGGCGGGCAUGCCUGUUCGAGCGUCAUUUCAACCCUCAAGCCCAGCUUGGUGUUGGGAGCUGUUUUAGUUAACACUCCCCAAAUUGAUUGGCGGUCACGUCGAGCUUCCAUAGCGUAGUAAUUUACACAUCGUUACUGGUAAUCGACGCGGCCACGCCGUUAAACCCCAACUUCUGAAUGUUGACCUCGGAUCAGGUAGGAAUACCCGCUGAACUUAA